rfam:Botryobasidium botryosum FD-172 SS1 unplaced genomic scaffold BOTBOscaffold_15, whole genome shotgun sequence.
GGUCACUUGGUGUAGUGGUUAUCACGUGUCUUUCACACAGACGAGGCCGCUGGUUCGAUCCCAGCAGUGAUCA